rnacentral:tRNA from 1 species
GGGUCACUAGCUCAAUUGGUAGAGCAGCGGACUCUUAAUCCGGAGGUUGAAGGUUCGAUUCCUUCGUGACCCACCA